rnacentral:rRNA from 1 species
AUACGGAAGGUCCGGGCGUUAUCCGGAUUUAUUGGGUUUAAAGGGAGCGCAGGCGGAGAUGCAAGCGUGACGUCAAAUUUCGGGGCUCAACCCCGUCUCGCGUCGCGAACUGCGUCCCUUGGUUGCGGGAAGGGGAGGCGGAACUCGUGGUGUAGCGGUGUAAUGCAUAGAUAUCACGAAGAACUCCGAUCGCGAAGGCAGCCUUCCGGCCCGUCAACGACGCUCAUGCUCGAAGGUGCGGGUAUCAAACAGGAUUAGAUACCCUGGUAGUCCGCACAGUAAACGAUGGACACCUGCGGUUUGGCCUGUAUGGCUGAGCCGCCAAGCGAAAGCGUUAAGUGUCCCACCUGGGGAGUACGCCGGCAACGGUGAAACUCAAAUGAAUUGACGGGG